GACGAACGCUGGCGGCGGGCUUAACACAUGCAAGUCGAACGGAAAGGCCCUGCUUUUGUGGGGUGCUCGAGUGGCGGACGGGUGAGUAACACGUGAGUAACCUGCCCUUGACUUUGGUAUAACUUCAGGAAACUGGGGCUAAUACCGGAUAGGAGCUCCUGCUGCAUUGUGGGGGUUGGAAAGUUUCGGCGGUUGGGGAUGGACUCGCGGCUUAUCAGCUUGUUGGUUGGGUAGUGGCUUACCAAGGCUUUGACGGGUAGCCGGCCUGAGAGGGUGACCGGCCACAUUGGGACUGAGAUACGGCCCAGACUCCUACGGGAGGCAGCAGUGGGGAAUAUUGCACAAUGGGCGGAAGCCUGAUGCAGCAACGCCGCGUGCGGGAUGACGGCCUUCGGGUUGUAAACCGCUUUCGCCUGUGACGAAGCGUGAGUGACGGUAAUGGGUAAAGAAGCACCGGCUAACUACGUG
rnacentral:rRNA from 1 species